AUUGAACGCUGGCGGCAUGCUUUACACAUGCAAGUCGAACGGCAGCGCGGGGCAACCUGGCGGCGAGUGGCGAACGGGUGAGUAAUAUAUCGGAACGUACCCAAGAGUGGGGGAUAACGUAGCGAAAGUUACGCUAAUACCGCAUACGAUCUAAGGAUGAAAGCAGGGGAUCGCAAGACCUUGUGCUCCUGGAGCGGCCGAUAUCUGAUUAGCUAGUUGGUGAGGUAAAGGCUCGCCAAGGCAACGAUCAGUAGCUGGUCUGAGAGGACGACCAGCCACACUGGAACUGAGACACGGUCCAGACUCCUACGGGAGGCAGCAGUGGGGAAUUUUGGACGAUGGGGGCAACCCUGAUCCAGCAAUGCCGCGUGAGUGAAGAGGCCUUCGGGUUGUAAAGCUCUUUUGUCAGGGAAGAAAAGGCUGUGGCUAAUAUCCACAGCUGCUGACGGUACCUGAAGAAUAAGCACCGGCUAACUACGUGCCAGCCGCCGCAGUAACAC
rnacentral:rRNA from 1 species